GCCAGCAGCCAUAUCACCCUGCAACUCACAACUGGCAAACCACCGAAGCUCAGCAGGUGUGAGCCUGACCAGUACCUGGAUAGGAGACCUCCCGGGAAAGCUAAGGCUGCUGCUGGAA
rnacentral:rRNA from 1 species